rnacentral:lncRNA from 1 species
CCCCAAGUGGGUAUGGGUGAGGUGGGUGGGACUGUGCACGUGCAGUUUGGGGUCACUGCAGGCACACACGUGUGGUUUGGGGUCACCACAAGUGCAGUUUGGGGUCAGUGUGUGCACAGUUUGGGGUCGGUGCAGGUACACAUGUACAGGUUGGGGUCACCAUACACACACAUGCAGUUUGGGGUCACUGUGUGCACAGUUUGGGGUCACUGCAGGCACAUGUGCGGUUUGGGGUCACCACAUGUGCAGUUUGGGGUCACCAUGUGCAGAGUUUGGGGUCACUGUACAUACAGAUGUACAGUUUGGGGUCACUGUGUGCACAGUCUGGGGUCACUACAUGCACACGCAUACAGUUUAGGGUCACCACACGUGCACACGUGCAGUUUGGGGUCACUGCAGGCACACAUGUGCAGAUUGGGGUUACCACACGCAGUUUGGGGUCACCACACAUGCACAUGUGCAGUUUGGGGUCACUGUGUGCACAGUUUGGGGUCACUAUGUGCACAUGUACAGUUUGGAGUCACCACACAUGCAGUUUGGGGUCACCAUGUGCUGAGUUUGGGGUCACUGUACACACACACAUGCAGUUUGGGGUCAUCACCCACGCACACUGGGCUGCACCCAGAGCCCCCCCGCAGCCCCCCACUCACCAGCAGCACCUCCGACUUUGCCUUCUUGGCUGUGCCCAGCGUCAGGGGGGGCUCCGCGGGCUCGGCCGCCCCCAGCUCCCUCCUGCGCCGCGGCGGGGUCCCGUCCUCCAGCAGCUGCACAAAACCCAAAAAAACCCCACAAACCCCCCACAUCAGAGCCCCCUUUUAAAUCUCCAGCCAGGAGGGGGGGCUCGGGGGGGGAUGAAGCCACUGACCGUGAGGUUGAGGGGGUUGAUGACCCCCCCGGGGGGCCGGCAGGAGCCGUUGCCGUCGGUGAGGAUCUCGGUGGGGUACAGGAGCCACUUCCCGUUGGGGACCUCGUAGGGCCACUCGAAACCCAGCAGGAUGGUGCCCAAAUCGCCCAGAGCCUCGCCCUUGGUGGACACCUGCGGGGCAGGGGUGGCACCGGGGGAUGGAGCUGUUCCAUCCACCCGA